UACGAAGGGGGCUAGCGUUGCUCGGAAUCACUGGGCGUAAAGCGCACGUAGGCGGAUUGCUAAGUCAGGGGUGAAAUCCUGGAGCUCAACUCCAGAACUGCCCUUGAUACUGGCGGUCUCGAGUCCGGGAGAGGUGAGUGGAACUGCGAGUGUAGAGGUGAAAUUCGUAGAUAUUCGCAAGAACACCAGUGGCGAAGGCGGCUCACUGGCCCGGUACUGACGCUGAGGAGCGAAAGUGUGGGGAGCGAACAGG
rnacentral:rRNA from 1 species